AUCAUACCAGACUCUCUGUAGGAUAAGGCUUUGCCUCAUCUUGGUAACAGCAGCAUGUGAUAAAUGAAGCUUUUGCUGCUCUCUCUAGUGGUGAUGACGUCACAAUCUCUGUGUAAACCAUCCACAGCCUGUUUUUAGGCUGUAUUAUAGUAGACCACCAUUUCAGUGUUACCUGCCAGGUGCCGUGGGACACUAGUAAAACACGUCUGCAUGCACCUCGACAGUUUUCAUUACAGUCUUCUAAGUCAUUUUAUGAAAAUUGAUAGUGAGUUCAUGGAUGAACAUACACAAACACCUGCACAGAAACACAAACAAACACAAACUCUCUCUCUCUCUCUCUCUCUCUCUCUCUCUCUCUCUCUCUCUCUCUCUCACACACACACACACACACACACACACACACUUUACUGACAUGGUACACAUUCUUUGCACACCAAAAAUAAAGUGAGCAGUAAUGAAAAUACACCAAUAAUGGAGUCGAUGGAGGGAGUUAUGCAGAAGCUGGGACUUAGAGUUACUUAAAGGCCCUAUGCAGGCUCUCCUUUUGUUGGAGGAGAAAUUUCAAGUGCAAUGUGGUUCGUUAUUUUCUUUCUCUAAAGCACACAGGCUAUGGUGGAAUGUAGGGCUUUGAGCAUGUUUGGAAAGUACAAUCACACUGAAUUAAAUCCUAGGGCUGGAACCCUAUUAAUCUUCGACAAAAUUACAGAGCAGGCUGGAUGAAUACUCCCAGGAGACAAUGUGGACAUCUCAAGACAGGCACUGGACAAUGGCUGAAGACUUGUCUGAAGACUGGAAAUAUUUUGAAAAUUCAGAGAGAAAAAAAAGGCCCCUCUGACUACACCGUACUCUAAGGACAGUUUAUGCAGGUGCUUCCUACACAAGAAGUCACAUGACCACAGAGUGUCAUUUGUCAAAGAACCAAGAACUUGUUCAAAACUCUACAGAGCAUCCAAUCUAUCACGUGGAUAUGCAAUAAUGAGGUAUGUUAUUAAUCUGUCACCAUUUCUAUACUGCAGCUUCAAAAAAAUAUACUUGCAAAAUAAUUCAGUUUCUGAAAAGUGGUUGGCUUCCCAGAAUACUUGUGCAUAGGCAGCGCAAUGAACAAUUCCAUUACAUGAGGUGGUUGGGUGGUUGUGAGUGUAAAUUAGAAAGGUGGUAGGAGAGAGCAAAGAUGUAUCAAAUUGGCAAACUUUAUCAGAUAUUUUUAAGCUAACACAGCUGCUCAACCCUACCAGAUGAUGCUGGGUCUGGACGUUGUUGGUCUUUAUCUUUCUUGUUGAAGUCAACCAAAUAUUUCUGGUUCAGUGCACACUCAAGAUGUACCUCCUUGCUCUCCUGCUUCAGUGGGAACAACUUCUUCCUACAUGUGUUGUCCAUCAGGAGCUGGCUGAGCAGGUUUCUGGAAAUACAGUCUGCAUAGUAAGAUCAUGCUGCCCCUUUCUCCCAUUCCCACUCCCGAGUGCCACUAACUCCACCAGGACCCAGAUACCCAUGAAGACUUAAUAGAAUUCAUUUCGAUACAUAUAAGGCUGCUGCACAAACCACAAAGAGUAAAUUCCGGGAAGAAUAAAUUAUUUAAUUGGCCCGAGCACCAAUUAGUGUCCACAUCUCUCAAAAAGAACAUGGAUCUACAACUAUCCAUGAAAGCCCAAUGCAUGGGGGCAACAUCAAUUAGUAGUGGGCCAACACCCUCAAAGGAGGUCAGUAGAACCAAGAGAAGGUCAUGCUUACCAUGUGGUCCACACACUGAGUUUUGUAAAACCUGGUAUGACACCGUAGGUCCAGGUCAGCCUAAUAACCUUGUCCUGACUUCAAUCAGUGCUGUUCUAUCUAGAGCCUUCUGAAGAUGCCUAGACAAUCCUGGGAUGAGUAACAGUCUUUUAUGGAACUGAAAACUGAGUCCUAAUGACCCUGGCACACUGAUGUGUAAACAGCACAAGAGAUAGAACCACAGCUGAAGACCAUGCAAUCCAGAACAAAGAAAGUCAGAAAUGGCCAUUCCAGAAGUGAUAUCCUUUCUGACCAGGACUUACCUAGAGAAGAUGCUCCAGUUGCUGUGGCCCAUUGCUAGAAAGGUCAGCAUAAGCCUGCAGCCCCCCUGGCAGGAAGCUCAAAAUACACUGCCCAGAACUUACUCAACAUUCCCCAGAAGUGCUGUCUUUGUCCAUCAUUACUUUGAGACGAAAGGCCAGACUCCUUCACUCUAGUCUCUCCACAAUCGACGUUCACCCUCCCAAAACGCUUGCGAAGACGGGAAAACAUGUCUUAGCUUGUAACCGCCAGACUCAGACUGAGAGAAACUAGGGCACUGGUUGUCACUACAACACUGGUGACAUCACAGAGGAUGCCAGAACUCUCUAGGAGACAAUAGAAUGUCCAAGAAGGGACAGCUGAUGUCAUGGGGAGCAGACUUUGCCUCCUGCUAAUGUUCUCCCUGUACUGAGCAUAAGCAGAGGUGCCCUUUCCAGGAGACUUUCCUGGGGCAGAGCCACUGAGCAUCUCCUGCUUCCAAAGCCAAAUUUUCCUCAAGGCUUGAUUAUAAAAACCUUAGUAAUUCUUAUGUAUCUAAAUGAAUGAUUCCUUCCAUAUCUUGCCCCAAAAUGUCUCAUCCUAACUCAAAUUGUCCACAUUCACCAAUGUUAGCCAUUAAAACUUCCUGAGAUUUCAUACCA